rnacentral:rRNA from 1 species
AAAUUGAAGAGUUUGAUCAUGGCUCAGAUUGAACGCUGGCGGCAGGCCUAACACAUGCAAGUCGAGCGGUAGCACAGAGAGCUUGCUCUCGGGUGACGAGCGGCGGACGGGUGAGUAAUGUCUGGGAAACUGCCUGAUGGAGGGGAUAACUACUGGAAACGGUAGCUAAUACCGCAUAAUGUCGCAAGACCAAAGUGGGGGACCUUCGGGCCUCAUGCCAUCAGAUGUGCCCAGAUGGGAUUAGCUGGUAGGUGGGGUAACGGCUCACCUAGGCGACGAUCCCUAGCUGGUCUGAGAGGAUGACCAGCCACACUGGAACUGAGACACGGUCCAGACUCCUACGGGAGGCAGCAGUGGGGAAUAUUGCACAAUGGGCGCAAGCCUGAUGCAGCCAUGCCGCGUGUGUGAAGAAGGCCUUCGGGUUGUAAAGCACUUUCAGCGGGGAGGAAGGCGGUGAGGUUAAUAACCUCAUCGAUUGACGUUACCCGCAGAAGAAGCACCGGCUAACUCCGUGCCAGCAGCCGCGGUAAUACGGAGGGUGCAAGCGUUAAUCGGAAUUACUGGGCGUAAAGCGCACGCAGGCGGUCUGUCAAGUCGGAUGUGAAAUCCCCGGGCUCAACCCUGGGAACUGCAUUCGAAACUGGCAGGCUAGAGUCUUGUAGAGGGGGGUAGAAUUCCAGGUGUAGCGGUGAAAUGCGUAGAGAUCUGGAGGAAUACCGGUGGCGAAGGCGGCCCCUGGACAAAGACUGACGCUCAGGUGCGAAAGCGUGGGGAGCAAACAGGAUUAGAUACCCUGGUAGUCCACGCUGUAAACGAUGUCGAUUUGGAGGUUGUGCCCUUGAGGCGUGGCUUCCGGAGCUAACGCGUUAAAUCGACCGCCUGGGGAGUACGGCCGCAAGGUUAAAACUCAAAUGAAUUGACGGGGGCCCGCACAAGCGGUGGAGCAUGUGGUUUAAUUCGAUGCAACGCGAAGAACCUUACCUGGUCUUGACAUCCACAGAACUUUCCAGAGAUGGAUUGGUGCCUUCGGGAACUGUGAGACAGGUGCUGCAUGGCUGUCGUCAGCUCGUGUUGUGAAAUGUUGGGUUAAGUCCCGCAACGAGCGCAACCCUUAUCCUUUGUUGCCAGCGGUCCGGCCGGGAACUCAAAGGAGACUGCCAGUGAUAAACUGGAGGAAGGUGGGGAUGACGUCAAGUCAUCAUGGCCCUUACGACCAGGGCUACACACGUGCUACAAUGGCAUAUACAAAGAGAAGCGACCUCGCGAGAGCAAGCGGACCUCAUAAAGUAUGUCGUAGUCCGGAUUGGAGUCUGCAACUCGACUCCAUGAAGUCGGAAUCGCUAGUAAUCGUAGAUCAGAAUGCUACGGUGAAUACGUUCCCGGGCCUUGUACACACCGCCCGUCACACCAUGGGAGUGGGUUGCAAAAAGAAGUAGGUAGCUUAACCUUCGGGAGGGCGCUUACCACUUUGUGAUUCAUGACUGGGGUGAAGUCGUAACAAGGUAACCGUAGGGGAACCUGCGGUUGGAUCACCUCCUUA